UACUUGAAUUACUUGAA
rnacentral:miRNA from 1 species